GCUCAGCAACUCUUAGGGCCUGUUUUUAGCUGGUUUUUCUGGAUGGAGUCUCAGCAAAAUUUGGAUGCUUAUUGAUAUAGGUGCCUCCAUGGAAACUGAGCCCUUCUGCAUGCCUGAUAAUCAUUGUUUUGUGUGACCUGAUCUUUCUACGUCCACAUAACCUUCCUGGAGACCUCCUUGUUGCAGAGAGAAAUGAGCUGAAGGGAAAAAAGAAUCAGGAUAAAACAUACUACAGUAACCCUUACUAAUGAAUGAAAGCAUCCUCAUGCAUUCUUCAAGUACCUGCUUUGAUAUCCGAGUACGAUAGAGCUAUAGGCUAAGCUCUGAUUUGGACCUUCAGUAUGUUAAUGCUACAGCAUUCAUUCACAGAUCGUUUCAUUAGUUUUAUGCCGUUUUCCUAAGCUGAGCUGGAGUAGUGAAGAAGCCUGGAAAACCCAGUAGUGCUGGAGGGGACUGUCACCAUGCAGUGAUGGAGAUGUGAGGCCAGGCAUCUGAGCCCAUUGUGAGGUACUAGAAAGGAAGUGUGGGUGGCAGGCUGAAAUGCAGAUCUCUGCGCUGUAUAAACAUCAAGGUUGAAGAUUCACCUCGCUCUGAUUUUUUCGGAUGUUAGGAUCCUGCAAAGGUUGUAACUGCUUUGACCAGCCUCUCAUGGCACCUCCAGACAGGCAACCCACACUCCUUGCUUCAGGGACUGCAGGCUCUCCAGGUUGGCUGCACAUCCAGCUCCACUCCUGCUGUUCCCCAUUGAAGGCAUCGAUUUGCCAUUUGACUUGACUUAGGGUCUCCUACUUAGCUUUGAGCUGCCACUCCAGAAGUUUCUCACAGGGCCUCCAUCAGCUGUAUGGAGAUGUCACAGCUACUCCAAGAGAUCUGACAUGGUGUCAGACACCUGUGGGCAGGCAACUGAAUUUUGCCUCAAGAAUUUACAUGGGAGCUAUGUGUCUAAGCUCUUGUUACAGUUAGUAGGGAUCUAGACCAGGAUCCAGAUCAGUAGAGCCUGCAGAGGGAUUUGGCUGACAAAGUUUAGAGGUUCACCUCAUGAAGAGCUGAAGACCUUGUGAGGCUCCAAUAAACCAAGAGCACAGUCUCCCACAGCUGCUGUGGCAGUGUAGGCAGUACUUCAGGUCCAGGCACUCAAAUUUAGGCAAGUUAAAUCCCAACCUUGGUGACUAAACGAAGAAUGAAAUAUAUAAAUAAGAAGACUAUGAAAGUGAUCAGGCUUUGUGCUAUCAUUUGUCACUUUCAUCUGGGUAAAGUAUAGAAAAACAUAAGCCUGGUGGAUGCGUAAGAUUCUCUGUCUCUCCACAUGCAAACACAUCCCCCUUUUCAUCAUAUCCCAUUAUGCUGUAUUACAUACACUCUCACAAAAUGUAUGCCUUGUCAAAUGGACCUACAGAUACUCCAGAUGAACAAGAAUGCAUUUGCUGUAUAAAAGAUGUUUUUUUUGCUACCGCAAAUGAGAAAUGUGGAUAUAUAAAUCUUAAUAUUUUGUCUAUGGUUUUCCGUGUUUUUGAUUCUAUCUCUACAGUGGGUAAAUGAAAUUAUUAGUAGUGUAUAAUAAUGAUUUUUUUUGCAGUCUUCUCUGCUCUGUUCUACAGUAUUGUUACAUCCUCGCCUGUUGCCAUAGAAAUGAUUGAUAUGUCCAAUCACAGCAUUCUUGCCAUACCCUCAUCUCUACAUAUUGUGUGCCUUGCUCUUUAAACCAGACUCUCACUUGGCUUUGUGAUAUUUCGGAUUAUACUCUGUAGAAAGAAAAAAGAUUGAGAGGGGGGGGAGAACUUUGGCAUUCAGAAGGCUGUAACUAAUCCAAAAGACAAAGUUACAUAUAUUAAUAAUGUGAAUCCACAUGAUUUUACUCUAAGUCUUGUGACAUUUGGUUCUUUUAUUAACCCCCGACUCCAAUAAGCUAUGACUCUGGGGGAAUGUUAGCAUCCUUUCAUUCGAUAUUGCAUGUAAUAAACAAUACAUGGAUUCAUAGCCACGGAAUUUGAAAAAUCAAAAGUAAAUUUGAAGAACU
rnacentral:lncRNA from 7 species